CGAACGCUGGCGGCGUGCUUAACACAUGCAAGUCGAACGCGAAAGGGACUUCGGUCCUGAGUAAAGUGGCGCACGGGUGAGUAACGCGUAGAUAACCUGUCUUCAUGUCUGGAAUAAUACGCCGAAAGGGGUACUAAUACCGGAUAUUCUUGCUUUUCAUAAGUUAUGCAAGCAAAGGUGGCCUCUGCAUAUGCUACUGCAUGAAGAGGGGUCUGCGUACCAUUAGCUAGUAGGUGGGGUAAUGGCCUACCUAGGCGGCGAUGGUUAGCGGGUCUGAGAGGAUGAUCCGCCACACUGGCACUGGAACACGGGCCAGACUCCUACGGGAGGCAGCAGUGAGGAAUAUUGCGCAAUGGGGGAAACCCUGACGCAGCGACGCCGCGUGAGUGAAGGAAGGCCUUCGGGUCGUAAAGCUCUGUCAAGAGGAAAGAAGUGUACAAUGGCUAAUACCUGUUGUAUUUGACGGUACCUCUAAAGGAAGCACCGGCUAACUCCGUGCCAGCCGCAGC
rnacentral:rRNA from 1 species